rnacentral:snRNA from 1 species
GCACUUACCUGGCAGGGGAGAUACCGUGAUCAUGAACGUGGUUUUCCUAGGGCAAAGCUUAUUCACUGCACUAUUUCCUCAUGCAUUUCAAAAUCCUGUUAUUAGGUAUAUGAA